rnacentral:misc_RNA from 2 species
AAUUCUCAACUUCAAAAAUUUAUUCAUUUGAAGCUUGGAUGUUGGAGGAAUUUGCCGGCCCAAGUCAGUGUUGGCUCCUCUUAAAUGCAUUAGCAGAACUUGUACGUUCGGCUCUGGUUUGAUAAUGCUAUCUAUGCCAUUGCUGAAAGGUGAUUUGUUCAGCUUCCAAUGGUCCAUUAUGGACUGUCUCCUUGGAGGCAUUAUCUUUG